ACAGAGGUGUGUCUGGACGUUUCUCUGUACACAGUGUUCAGAUGAAACAGGUGUUCUCACGUUUCUCAGUACAGAGAGUGUUCAGGUGUUCUCACGUUUCUCAGUACAGAGAGUGUUCAGGUGUACUCCCGUUUCUCAGUACAGAGAGUGUUCAGGUGUACUCACGUUUCUCAGUACAGAGAGUGUUCAGGUGUAACAGGUGUACUCACGUUUCUCAGUACAGAGAGUGUCCAGGUGUGACAGGUGUACUCACGUUUCUCAGUACAGAGAGUGUCCAGGUGUUCUCACGUUUCUCAGUACAGAGAGUGUUCAGGUGUAACAGGUGUACUCACGUUUCUCUGCGCGUAGUGUGU